AUGUCACAAACCCAAAUAGAAACAUGACUACUGUUAAUACCUAAUUUUCCGGGGCAAACAUUUCUGCCUUCAAAUUUAGGUCAGUUUGCUGAGCCUGUGCAAGCUGACAUGUUGGCAGACACAAGGGCUCUACAGUCCUGGAAAUGAACAAUGAUUUUCAAAGGCAGCAAAUUAACAUAAAAAUCUUUGUGAUCAAAUUAUGAAUCAGUGGGUGAUAUAUAAAUCAUUUUUUCCUCUCAUUUCCAUCAUAGAUAGGUAACAGAAACCUUUAAGCCAAUAUUAUCACUUAAGUAGUUCCUCUUCCUCCUCAGUAUUUAUUUCUCAUAUGUAAUUUUACAGUUCAUAUUCUUAAAUUUAAGAUGCUCCAUUCUCUUACUCAGCCAUGGAAAUAGCACCAAGGCAGAACAGACGGAGGAUAUAAAAUUACCAACUUUGUGUGCAGUGAAGUUUACUCCUCUUGUUUUCUACUUUUCUAAGCAAAGUAAUGGAAAUAUUUAAGGUGUGAGAGAGAUAAGCAGCACAAAAAGACCUUGCAGAGCCUAUGCAGACAGCUGCCAACCAUUACUGCAUCACUAGUCUAAUUACAGCCACAUAUCUCAGCUGCAUAAAAAAAGCAGCACAAUAUUCCUACUCAGGUCUAAUGUCAAUGAAGUAUUUUAAAGUAUGGCUCAGGCAGUGAGCUUUUGGGGAAAAAAAAAAAAGAAAGGACUAGAUCACAAGUGAAGUGCUUCCUUCUCUUCAACCACCUCCUGAAAUAUCCAAGAUCCAUAAGCCAUUGUGUCUCUUAUUUGCUCAUGUCUACUUUGGUCUUUUCAAAUGCAUAUGCCAGAUAUACUGUGUUUGUGCUAAUUAAAAUCCAGGCAGCUGGGGCAUGAAACUGCUGGAAGCCAUAGGAUCUCUGGAGAACGAACACAACACAUUUUGGUCAAGAGAGAUUUCACUUACUUAUAUUCUCUCACUGAACUUCAGAAUUCUGAAUUUAAAGAAUAUAAAAUUUCAAAGCCAAUCAGUAUUGUGUGUAUAUUUGUGUAUGCACAUGUGCUUCUAAGAUAAUUCGCUCAUGCACUGUACUUCAAAUUCUUCAUCUGCCUGGCCGUAAGUAGCUGUACUAAGUUUUGUAGAUUUCAUUGCUUUAAAAGUCACUAAAAUACUUCACAACAAAUGAAAACAAUUAAUUAGAAUGAGAGGAGGUUUUCCACACAGGACCUAAUUAUUAAAAAAAAUAUUCUGUAUCACUGCUAAUGACUUCCAUUUUUAAAACCUUUCUAAAGUUGAAUUACAUCUAGGCUUGCACACAAAUUAAUUGGCUAGAGAAAGAACUUGUGAUCUAAUCUGCAACAUAUUACAGGGAUUCAGAUCUGAUUGAUAGACGGUGCUGCAGUAGUCAUAUUUUCCUUUCCCCUUUGGAAUAAAGCCAACUCAGAAGUGACAUCUAUGAAUUACUGGGCUUCCUGAAGGUUAAGUCACUUAGGGAAAAAAAUGUCGUUUACAAGAUGUAAAUCUGUUUUUCAAAUCUUACUUUCAUUCUAGGUUGAAUGCUCCUAAUGAUAUUGUAGGAGCCCCAAACAGAAACAGGGAUCACGGGAGAAUUGUUCGAUUCACAUGAGUAAAACUACUCUCCUGACAGAAGUUACAAAUUUAGCAAUGCCCAUACCUGGAUAUCAACAUGAAGUAGACUCUGAAUCUUGCAGAAACAGAGAAGGUUACUUUUUUUUUUAAAUCUUAACAAUAAACACUACUUUUGCAUUUGUGGCACA